rnacentral:rRNA from 1 species
UACGUAGGCAGCGAGCGUUGUUCGGAAUUACUGGGCGUAAAGAGUGUGUAGGCGGUGCUCUAAGUUCGGUGUGAAAUCUCCUGGCUCAACUGGGAGGGUGCGCCGGAAACUGGAGUGCUUGAGCGUGGGAGAGGAAAGCGGAAGUUCCUGGUGUAGCGGUGAAAUGCGCAGAUAUCGGGAGGAACACCGGUGGCGAAGGCGGUUCUCUGGGCCUGUACUGACGCUGAGGAGCGAAAGCGUGGGGAGCGAACAGG